CGUCCUACGGGGCGCAGCAGUGGGGAAUAUUGCACAAUGGGGGAAACCCUGAUGCAGCAACGCCGCGUGAGUGAGGAAGUAUUUCGGUAUGUAAAGCUCUAUCAGCAGGGAAUAGAAAAGAAGGUACCUGAAAAAGCAUCGGCUAACUCCGUGCCAGCAGCCGCGGUAAUACGGAGGAUGCGAGCGUUAUCCGGAUUUAUUGGGUUUAAAGGGUGCGUAGGCGGGCUUUUAAGUCAGCGGUAAAAAUUCGGGGCUCAACCCCGUCCGGCCGUUGAAACUGGGGGCCUUGAGUGGGCGAGAAGAAG
rnacentral:rRNA from 1 species